AGAGUUUGAUCCUGGCUCAGAAUGAACGCUGGCGGCGUGCUUAACACAUGCAAGUCGGAUGUGCCGCAAGGUGCAUGGCAGACGGGUGAGUAACGCGUAGGGAACCUACCUCUUUGUGGGGAAUAACGUUCCGAAAGGAAUGGUAAUACCGCAUGAGAUCCACGACUGGGAUGUUGUGGAUGAAAGCCGGGGAUCGAAAGACCUGGCGCAAGGAGAGGGUCCUGCGUCUGAUUAGCUAGUUGGUAGGGUAAUGGCCUACCAAGGCUACGAUGGUUAGCUGGUCUGAGAGGAUGAUCAGCCACACUGGAACUGAGACACGGUCCAGACUCCUACGGGAGGCAGCAGUGAGGAAUAUUGCGCAAUGGGGGCAACCCUGACGCAGCAACGCCGCGUGAGUGAGGAAGGUUUUCGGAUCGUAAAGCUCUGUCGAGUGGGAAGAAAUGUAUCAUGGCUAAUAUCCAUGGUAUUUGACGGUACCGCUAAAGGAAGCACCGGCUAACUCCGUGCCAGCAGCCGCGGUAAUACGGGGGGUGCAAGCGUUGUUCGGAAUUAUUGGGCGUAAAGAGCGUGUAGGCGGCUGAAUAAGUCAGAUGUGAAAUCCCUGGGCUUAACUCAGGAAGUGCAUUUGAAACUAUUCAGCUUGAGUAGGGGAGAGGAAAGUGGAAUUCCUGGUGUAGAGGUGAAAUUCGUAGAUAUCAGGAGGAACACCGGUGGCGAAGGCGACUUUCUGGCCCUAUACUGACGCUGAGACGCGAGAGCGUGGGUAGCAAACAGGAUUAGAUACCCUGGUAGUCC
rnacentral:rRNA from 1 species